AACGAACGCUGGCGGCAUGCCUAACACAUGCAAGUCGAACGAGACCUUCGGGUCUAGUGGCGCACGGGUGCGUAACGCGUGGGAACCUGCCCUUAGGUUCGGAAUAACUCCCCGAAAGGGGUGCUAAUACCGGAUAAUGUCUUCGGACCAAAGAUUUAUCGCCUUUGGAUGGGCCCGCGUUGGAUUAGCUAUUUGUUAGGGUAAAAGCCUACCAAGGCGACGAUCCAUAGCUGGUCUGAGAGGAUGAUCAGCCACACUGGGACUGAGACACGGCCCAGACUCCUACGGGAAGCAGGAGUGGGGAAUAUUGGAAAAUGGGCGAAAGCCUGAACAAGCAAUGACGCGUGAGUGAUGAAGGCAUUAGGGUAGUAAAGCUCUUUUAACCGGGAUGAUAAUGACAGUACCGGGAGAAUAAGCUCCGGCUAACUCCGUG
rnacentral:rRNA from 1 species